AUUGAACGCUGGCGGCAUGCUUUACACAUGCAAGUCGAACGGUAACAGGCCGCAAGGUGCUGACGAGUGGCGAACGGGUGAGUAAUGCAUCGGAACGUGCCCAGUCGUGGGGGAUAACGCAGCGAAAGCUGCGCUAAUACCGCAUACGAGCUACGGAUGAAAGCGGGGGACCGUAAGGCCUCGCGCGAUUGGAGCGGCCGAUGUCAGAUUAGGUAGUUGGUGGGGUAAAGGCUCACCAAGCCAACGAUCUGUAGCUGGUCUGAGAGGACGACCAGCCACACUGGGACUGAGACACGGCCCAGACUCCUACGGGAGGCAGCAGUGGGGAAUUUUGGACAAUGGGCGCAAGCCUGAUCCAGCAAUGCCGCGUGCAGGAAGAAGGCCUUCGGGUUGUAAACUGCUUUUGUACGGAACGAAAAGGCUCUGGUUAAUACCUGGGGCUCAUGACGGUACCGUAAGAAUAAGCACCGGCUAACUACGUGCCAGCCGCCGCAGUAAGAC
rnacentral:rRNA from 1 species